GACGAACGCUGGCGGCGUGCCUAAUACAUGCAAGUAGGACGCAGUUGCGAACGGGUGAGUAACGCGUAGGUCACUGCCUAUUAGAGGGGGAUAACUAUUGGACACGAUAGCUAAUACCGCAUACUAGUAGAUGGACCUGCGUUGUAUUUGCUAGUAGGUAGGGUAAUGGCCUACCUAGGCAAAGAUACAGAGCCGGCCGGGGGGGGAGAGCGGCCACACCGGGACUGGGACACGGCCCCGACUCCUACGGGAAGCAGCAGUAGGGGAUCUUCGGCAAUGGGGAGAACCCUUACCAGGCAACGGCGCGUGAGUGAAGAAGGUUUUCGGGUCGUAAAGCUCUGUUGUUAAGGAAGCGGUACUUAACCAAGAAGGGACGGCUAACUACGUGCCAGCAGCCGCGGUAAUAC
rnacentral:rRNA from 1 species